rnacentral:tRNA from 1 species
GGGCAGAUACCGAAGUGGCCAAACGGGGGAGACUGUAAAUCUCUUGGCUUACGCCUUCAGUGGUUCGAAUCCACUUCUGCCCA